AUAAUACUCCCUUUGUCCGGAAUUACUUGUCAUAAAAAUGGAUGUGUCUAGAACUAAAAUACAUCUAGAUACAUCCAUUUCAAUGAAAAGUAUUUUCGGACGGAGGGAGUAGUAG
rnacentral:pre_miRNA from 1 species